UCCCAGUUUAGCUGUCUAAAGAUGUGCUC
rnacentral:sRNA from 1 species